rnacentral:rRNA from 1 species
UACGUAGGGUGCAAGCGUUAAUCGGAAUUACUGGGCGUAAAGCGUGCGCAGGCGGUUUUGUAAGUCUGUCGUGAAAUCCCCGGGCUCAACCUGGGAAUGGCGAUGGAGACUGCAAGGCUAGAAUCUGGCAGAGGGGGGUAGAAUUCCACGUGUAGCAGUGAAAUGCGUAGAUAUGUGGAGGAACACCGAUGGCGAAGGGCAGCCCCCUGGGUCAA